AGUCCUGAUCAGCCAUGCCGCGUGCAGGAUGACUGCCCUAUGGGUUGUAAACUGCUUUUGUCCAGGAAUAAACCCAGAUACGUGUAUCUGGCUGAAUGUACUGGAAGAAUAAGGAUCGGCUAACUCCGUGCCAGCAGCCGCGGUAAUACGGAGGAUCCGAGCGUUAUCCGGAUUUAUUGGGUUUAAAGGGUGCGUAGGCGGCCUAUUAAGUCAGGGGUGAAAUACGGUGGCUCAACCAUCGCAGUGCCUUUGAUACUGAUGGGCUUGAAUCCAUUUGAAGUGGGCGGAAUAAGACAAGUAGCGGUGAAAUGCAUAGAUAUGUCUUAGAACUCCGAUUGCGAAGGCAGCUCACUAAGCUGGUAUUGACGCUGAUGCACGAAAGCGUGGGGAUCGAACAGGAUUAGAUACCCUGGUAGUCCACGCCCUAAACGAUGAUAACUCGAUGUUGGCGAUAGACAGCCAGCGUCCCAGCGAAAGCGUUAAGUUAUCCACCUGGGGAGUACGCCCGCAAAGGGUGAACUCAAAGGAAAAUUUGACGGG
rnacentral:rRNA from 1 species